rnacentral:rRNA from 1 species
GGAUCAUUGCUGGAAUACCGCCCUCACAGGUGCUACCCAGAAACCCUUUGUGAAUUAUACUAUAACCUGUUGCCUCGGCAGUGACUGGCUUUCUCUGAAAGUCCCUUUUUCUCUUUUGAAAAAGGAGCAGGUCGGCCGGUGGCCCUAUAAACUCUUUGUUUUUACCAUGUAUCUUCUGAGUAAACAACUAUAAAUGAAUCAAAACUUUUAACAACGGAUCUCUUGGUUCUGGCAUCGAUGAAGAACGCAGCGAAAUGCGAUAAGUAAUGUGAAUUGCAGAAUUCAGUGAAUCAUCGAAUCUUUGAACGCACAUUGCGCCCGCUGGUAUUCCAGCGGGCAUGCCUGUUCGAGCGUCAUUUCAACCCUCAAAACCUCGGUUUUGGUGUUGGAGGAAUACUUGUUAAAGAGUACCCUCUGAAAUUUAGUGGCGGGCUCGCUAGAAUUUUGAGCGUAGUAAUUUUCAUACCUCGUUUAUAAAGACUAGCGGUGCUUCUUGCCGUAAAACCCCCCAACUUUCUGAAAAUUGACCUCGGAUCAGGUAGGAAUACCCGCUGAACUUAAGCAUAUCAAUAAGCGGAGGAAAAGAAACCAACAGGGAUUGCCCCAGUAACGGCGAGUGAAGCGGCAACAGCUCAAAUUUGAAAUCUGGCUUCGGCCCGAGUUGUAAUUUGCAGAGGAUGUUUAUGGUGCGGUACCUUCCGAGUUCCCUGGAACGGGACGCCACAGAGGGUGAGAGCCCCGUCUGGUUGGAUAUCAAACCUGUGUUAAACUCCUUCAACGAGUCGAGUAGUUUGGGAAUGCUGCUCUAAAUGGGAGGUAAAUCUCUUCUAAAGCUAAAUACCGGCCAGAGACCGAUAGCGCACAAGUAGAGUGAUCGAAAGAUGAAAAGCACCUUGAAAAGGGGGUUAAACAGUACGUGAAAUUGUUAAAAGGGAAGCGUUUAUGACCAGACUUGUGUCGUGUGGCUCAUCCGAGGUUCUCCCCGGUGCACUCCACACGGCUCAGGCCAACAUCGGUUCUCGUUGGGGGAUAAGAACAGCAGGAACGUGGCCCUCUUCGGAGGGUGUUAUAGCCUGCUGUACGAUACCCUGAUGGGGACCGAGGACCGC